AUUAACAUAUGUAUGUACGUAUAUACACAUACAUAUAUACAUAUAAAAUUGACCAUAUACAUAUAUUUGUGUGUUCAACACACGCAUUAUUUUUCAGGUACUGCACUAACCUUUUAUUCCAUUGACUUGUUACUUUUCCUAAGAACUCUGUGACACUGGCCUUAUUAUACCUGUUUUAAAGAUAAACAAGUUUAGUUAGAGAUGGCCCAAGGUCACACAGCUAGUGGAGGAGCUGGGAUUUGACCCCAAACAGUCUGACUGUUGACCCAAUGCUCUUAAGCAACUGUGCAAUACAGCGAAAGGGGCGCCGGGGGUUAAUGUUCACACUGCUUGAUGCUGCUGACUUCCGACCAGCCACAAGGCACCCCGGAGCCAAAGGCAGAUGACUCCCUGGCUUGCCAGUGACGUGUGAUGCGGUCUGAUAUGACAAAGUGAGUUAAACAAGCAGAUUUUUCCUCUCAGGAAACAGACACAAGAACAACUGAAAAGAAUAAAGCAGAUGUGUGAGUUACUAUUCCUUACAGCAAAAGAACCUCAUCAGAACCGCAGGCUGGAAAGAGCUGUGAGACCAGUUGCCUUUCAUAUAUUCUAGAAGAGAAGGAUGAGUGCUCUACAAGUAUAGAAAGAAGCCUUCCUCUUCCCACCGUCCCCAGACACCACAUAAUGGAAAAAGCAAGAAUUUUCUGCAUAAGCAAGGCCUUAAAAAAAAAAAAGCCAGCCUCUGAUGGGACUUCUUUCCUGCCAGAAAUCCCACUGGUCCACUGUCGCAAUUUUUACAAAAGGCCACGAUGAAAGAGUAAGGCCCAUUUUGAGCCCUUUGCUUCUGUAUUAUGUGAAACAUAACUUGUAUGUUUCACAUAUGUUCUUGGUAUCAGAAGAAUUGUUAGUUUUUGAACAUGUAAAAUCUACUAGGGUCUCUGACUGUUAAAGUAUAAUUUUGAUUAAGAAAAGAUUUGUUCCACUGCUUUGAUUAGACACAUAAAACUUUGAAAAGUU
rnacentral:lncRNA from 1 species